AGUGAACGCUGGCGGUAGGCCUAACACAUGCAAGUCGAACGGCAGCACAGUAAGAGCUUGCUCUUACGGGUGGCGAGUGGCGGACGGGUGAGGAAUACAUCGGAAUCUACUUUUUCGUGGGGGAUAAUGUAGGGAAACUUACGCUAAUACCGCAUACGACCUACGGGUGAAAGCAGGGGAUCUUCGGACCUUGCGCGAUUGAAUGAGCCGAUGUCGGAUUAGCUAGUUGGCGGGGUAAAGGCCCACCAAGGCGACGAUCCGUAGCUGGUCUGAGAGGAUGAUCAGCCACACUGGAACUGAGACACGGUCCAGACUCCUACGGGAGGCGGCAGUGGGGAAUAUUGGACAAUGGGCGCAAGCCUGAUCCAGCCAUACCGCGUGGGUGAAGAAGGCCUUCGGGUUGUAAAGCCCUGUUGUUGGGAAAGAAAAGCAGCAGGUUAAUACCCCGCUGUUCUGACGGUACCCAAAGAAUAAGCACCGGCUAACUUCGUG
rnacentral:rRNA from 1 species